AGCGAACGCUGGCGGCAGGCUUAACACAUGCAAGUCGAACGCCAUCUUCGGAUGGAGUGGCAGACGGGUGAGUAACGCGUGGGAACGUACCUUGUGGUUCGGAAUAUUCUCGGGAAACUGAGAGCAAUACCGAAUAAGCCCUUAGGGGGCAAGAUGUAUUGCCAAAAGAUCGGCCCGCGUUAGAUUAGGUAGUUGGUAGGGUAAUGGCCUACCAAGCCUACGAGCGAUAGCUGGGCUGAGAGGAUGAUCAGCCACAAUGGGACUGAGACACGGCCCAAACUCCUACGGGAGGCAGCAGUGGGGAAUAUUGGACAAUGGGCGCAAGCCUGAUCCAGCCAUGCCGCGUGAAUGAUGAAGGCCUUAGGGUUGUAAAAAUCUUUCAACGGGGACGAUAAUGACGGUACCCGUAGAAGAAGCCCCGGCUAACUUCGUGCCAGCCGCCGCGGUAA
rnacentral:rRNA from 1 species